GUUCCUUUAGGUGAUGUGAAGAAAUUUCUUAAUCUAACUUGAUGGAAUUAUAGGGAGCCUACCACUGACUGACUGAAGGCUCAGCUACACCUCUACUGGCUUUUAAAUUUCAAAUCAGACUGGAACAUAUUAGUCAAGGCAGGAGGAGCUUUGUCACUUAAGAAAUCUCUGACAGCCCCUGCUGACAAUGAUGUCUCAUAUUGGAGAUGCCACACCCUCAUGCUCCAUGCCUCCAUGGCCAACCUCUACAUCUGGAAUUCCUUCCUUCCUGACUUCUGCUUCAUAGAACCCCUCUCUUCCUUCAAGAAAAAGGUAAAUUACCAUCUUCUACAUAAAUCUUUCCAGAUCGCCCUAGUUGCAAAUGCUCUCCCUCAAAAAGUACCUCAUAUUCAGCUACUCAGGAUUUAUUCUUUUUGUAUUUAUUCUAUAUAUAAUUUCAUAUGUAUUUGUUGUCUCUCUGGUUAGAAUGU
rnacentral:lncRNA from 1 species